GGUCUCCAACUCCUGGUGAUCCUCCUGCCUUAGUCCACCAAGUGCUAGAAUUAUAGGCAUGAGCCAUUGUGCCUGGUUAAGUACACCAUGGUAUAAAGCAGUUGUUCUCAACUUUCCUAAUGCUUUGGACUUUAAAAACAAUUCCUUAUGUUGUAGUGAAGCCCAACCACAACCCCCCACCCCAGACAGUGUUUAUCUGUGUGGCCCUGGAUGUCCUGGAAUUGCAUUCUGUAGACCAGCUUCAAACUCAAAGAUCCUCUGCCUCCCAAGUGCUGGGAUUAAAGGAUUUAUACAGAAGCAGUCUUCCAAAUUCUGAAACCUGAUGCCCAUCACAUACUUUGGGCUGAGAAAAGAAAAUCAAACAUUUGUUUGAUGCAGCCUCCCUCCCUCAGCCUUCAAGCAGGCUGAUCCAGACUUUGACCUUGCUGCCGCUAAGAAGGCGAUUACCUAGGGUAGAGCCUUCUGACCUUGAUGGCUCUAUUUGCUCUUCUCCUUGACUCUGCUUCCAGCUGAAAGGUCCCUGAGACAGUCCAAAGACACACCCUGUAGAUCGCCUAAGGGCUGGCUCCAGGUACCAAGAAUGGGUUGGCAGGGGAUGGGCCUUCCCCCUUAUAAGCACACUCUCUUAAUAAACUCGGGGGCCUUGAACAGAAA
ensembl:lincRNA